rnacentral:tRNA from 1 species
AUGUACUAUAUCAUAGUGUUGAGUUAUGC